rnacentral:tRNA from 1 species
UGCGGGGUCGACUAGUGGCCGAUGUCACGGGGCUCAUAAUCCCGAUGCGAAAGCACGCGAUGGUUCGAAUCCAUCCUCCGCGA